GUACUUACCUGGCUGGGGAGAUACCAUGACCUUGAAGGUGGUUUGCCCAGAGUGAGGCUAUCCUUUGCACUUCGGAUGUCCUGACCGCUGCCAUUUCCCAAAAUGUGGAAAACUCAGUGCCAUAAUUUGUAGUAGUGGGGGGUCUGCAUUCCCACUCUCCUCUG